ensembl:lncRNA
AAACACAGAGCAGAGGUUUCUGCCAUCUUUCCUGCUACCGUGGCUCCCCGGCUGCCUGCAAAGCUGUGGAGGGGGCUCUGGCAGGGUGUCCAGAUGAGUGAACCACAUCAGCUUGUUGAACAGGUGGUAAGCAGAAGCGAGAGGUGUUUGGGAAUGGCAAUGACAGUUGGGAAGAAGUCCCCAGCAGAGGUGCCCUGCUUUGCUUCAGGACUCCCAGCAUCUCCUGCAAGGCUGGAACACAGAGAGAACAGAGCGGGUAUAUUUCUGGAAUGAGAUGCAUGACCUUACCACCACGUCAGUUAGAACUUCUAAGGGACUUUUACUCCAUAUCUGACACCUCCUUGUACUCAGUGAGAGCUCUGCUGCUUUCAGUCUGCCCCCUAAGGGCUGACCCGUCAGCCCAAACGCACAAGCCGGCCAGUGGUGCUCUCUCCCACACAGGGGACGUUACGCGCUGUGUAUGGGUCAGCUGCACGAGUCCCAGCUCAGCUGCAGGACAGUGCCCGGGGCGGCGGAUGCUUGACAGACGUGGGUGGCCAAGGCUAGCAGUGGGAACAGCAAUGUUGUACCUGAGCAGCAACACGAGCGGUGGUGACAUAGAUGUCCCGUCACACUUCGGCUCGCUGCUCCCUCUCCUGCCGGGCUACACAAACUGUCAGAGCCGUCUGUGUUUGCUGUGGCUGACGGCCGUGCCAGGCAAUGUAACACUGUGGCAGGUACUUGCCAAGAACGGUGCAGAAAGAACCUGCAAAUGCUAAAGCUAAUCCUACAGCCUGGUGGUUGUUUUUCUUUUCUUACAAGCCUUGACAAAUUAGUUGGACUCCCAUUUCUGUGAGAAACCUGGACAGAAAGUCCCACCAUCAGAACUCUGGAGAUAAGGGAAGAAGGGGAUCUAUAGGGUCUCCUGCAGCACGUCCAUGAGUUCAGAGGCUCUUGCUGGCCCUGUUGUCUCCUGGGCCAUCAUCCAGAAUUCCCCUUCCUGUUAAGGGGAGUGCAUUACACAUUCUCAGUUUUAUUCCAUUAUUCCCGUUCUUCACCAUCACAGACAGGUUUGCUCCAUUUUGUUGUUUACAGAUGUCUCCAAAUGAAGUAUCUUUAGGUUGCUUUUCUUACCAUAUUCCUUUGUUGAAAAAAUAACAAUUUUUUUUUAAUUAAAGUUAAUCCCCUCCACCCUCAAGAUAAUGUCUUGAGGCCUGCCUGCACACUGCCUCUUUACUCAUACUCACCGAUAGCAUUUCUAAACUGAGUCUGAGAAGUGGUUUAUUGCUCUAUAUCCUUCAUCCUUUCUCAUGCACUUAAUGCUUUGAGGACCAGACAUGGUCCUGCAGGAGCCAUUGGGAAUGGCAGCAAACUCUCUGCUCUACUCUGUAACCACAG